rnacentral:rRNA from 1 species
AGGGUGUAAACGCUGCAGACUUGGUGUUGGAAGUCCUUUGGGGGCAUUCAGUGCCGGAGAGAAGUUGUUAAGUCUGCUACUUGGGGAGUACGUCCGCAAGGAUGAAACUUAAAGGAAUUGGCGGGGGAGCACCGCAACGGGAGGAGCGUGCGGUUUAAUUGGAUUCAACGCCGUAAAACUCACCAGGGAAGACUGUUACAUGAAAGCCGAGAUGAAGACUCUGCUAGAUUUUCAGAGAGGAGGUGCAUGGCGUCAGUGACU